rnacentral:rRNA from 1 species
GAUGAACGCUAGCUACAGGCUUAACACAUGCAAGUCGAGGGGAAACGACAUCGAAAGCUUGCUUUUGAUGGGCGUCGACCGGCGCACGGGUGAGUAACGCGUAUCCAACCUGCCCAUCACUUGGGGAUAACCUUGCGAAAGUAAGACUAAUACCCAAUGAUAUCUCUAUAAGACAUCUGAAAGAGAUUAAAGAUUUAUCGGUGAUGGAUGGGGAUGCGUCUGAUUAGCUUGUUGGCGGGGUAACGGCCCACCAAGGCGACGAUCAGUAGGGGUUCUGAGAGGAAGGUCCCCCACAUUGGAACUGAGACACGGUCCAAACUCCUACGGGAGGCAGCAGUGAGGAAUAUUGGUCAAUGGACGAGAGUCUGAACCAGCCAAGUAGCGUGCAGGAUGACGGCCCUAUGAGUUGUAAACUGCUUUUAUAAGGGAAUAAAGUGAGUCUCGUGAGACUUUUUGCAUGUACCUUAUGAAUAAGGACCGGCUAAUUCCGUGCCAGCCGCCGCGGUAA